AUAGCAGCACAUGCAUUCAUAUAUGUGAGUUAUAGUAAUAUUAUGAUGUUUAUCAAUGAACAUUCUGUCAGUUCGGACUGUUUUCAGGCUCAAACUGAACAAAACAGAUGAGAGUCUGGAUGGACCACAUGCUUCUGUCACCGCAUCCUUGGAAGGAAACGAUAGAAUCGCUCAUGUCUGUUCCAUCGUUCUGCUGUGGAGAUGGAAUAAUGAAAUCAGCUGAUGGUCUGUUUGUGCAGCAGAUCUCCAUGAGUCACCUCCACCAGGAAUCUGGGAGCUGCUCUCUAAUUGAACGCUGUUGAGAGUUCAUGACUCAAAUGAGUCUGGAAGUAUAGGCAUCAGGACCGUCUGAGACUCCAUGGAUAAUCUUCAACAAGAUUCUGGAUAUCUGGAGGAUCAGACUUAUUAAAGGCAGACAUGAGG